GACAGACUGAGAGAAGCAAGAGGUUCCCAGCAGACCUGAUCGCGCACCCGGGAUGGCCACGACGGGCUCGCACCAGACCCGCGCUCUGCUCCUCGCGGUCGCGGCGCUGCUCGCGCUGCCCUCCUGUCGGUCCCAGACGAACGUCCUGGUCUCUCAGUUCCCCGCGUCCGCCGUUACCGAGCCCAGCGGCGGUUCCGUGAGCUUCUCGUGCACCGUGAACCAGGCCAACUAUAACUUCUUCUGGUACCGCCAGAUUCCUGGCGGGGCCGAGCUGGUACCGCUGCUGGAGUUCUACUCCUAUGACAAAGAACAAGCCAGCGAGAAGUCGCAGGACCCCAGCCUGGGGUCCCGGAUCGGUUCGGUCCGGCUGAGCGACCGGUCGGUGAACCUGACGCUGUCCGGGCUGCUGGGGAACGACUCGGCGCUGUACCUGUGCGCGAGCCGAGACACACAGCGCUGCCGGCGCGCGGGAGGGGCGUGCAGAUAAGAGCGAGGGCGCUCGGGGAUCGUGAGCACGUGAGCCAGUACAGCAGCUGUCCUGUACUGUAGAACAGUCUAUAUUCCCCUGUUAUCUCCUGUCCCUGUGUCUCCUGUCAUGUACUGUAGAACAGUCUAUAUUCCCCUGUUAUCUCCUGUCCCUGUGUCUCCUGUCCUGUACUGUAAAAGUCUAUAUUCCCCUGUUAUCUCCUGUCCCUGUGUCUCCUGUCCUGUACUGUAAAAGUCUAUAUUCCC